AACCCAUCUCAAAAGUAUCAGGCGACUCCAGCAGUGACUGCAACUUCAUUUUCAGCGAUUUCAACUUCGAUGGAGUUUCAUGAUGAUCCGGUUGGAAGUAGCGCCGCUGCUACAAACUCUUCUGAAUCGUCAUCGGAGCCAUCUGCCAUUAUCAUCUUCCACUCCAAUCGGUGGCAGCUUCACUUAAUUCAACGAUUCUAAAAAAAUCCCCAAGCUAAGCAAGUAUUUAGUUGAUGAGGUUACGGUAGAUAAGUGGCGAUUUCCUUGCGAGUUUCCAAGAUGGUGAGGCCGGCAAAAGGCAAAUGAAGAGGAAUUGACAAGUAUUAGUUGUUUCCAAGACUGGGAAUUUUACCAAAGGAGAACUAUUUGGUACCAAUGAUCUUUGAGAUGGAGCUAUUGGGUCCUUUGUUAGAUAGCUUAUGUCAAUAAUAAAAUAGAGUAGUUGGUUUAGGUUGGUGUGAGCCUUAGCACAUGCAAUUGUACUGUAGUCAAUUUCUUUGAUUUGUAUUCCCUAACUUAAAAUUGCAUGAUUUUUUUGGAAUUCAAUGCACUAAAUUUUGAUGAUCCUACGUUGGGUGGGUGUGUGAGUGAUUGUGUGGUGCUAGAAUUUUUAAAAAUUUAAUGAGUCCGGGCUGUUGGUCAAUGCUUUUGAAUAAGUGUCUUCAGGCACAUGCUCAUUUGUUAUUAGGAUUCACUCUUAGUUAGCAUUUAUGAAAUAUGCAAGUUUUUUGUAUAUAGCUUAAUUGAUUGAAUGUUAAAACUG